ensembl:lncRNA
CCAAGAAAUCAAAAGAAAAAUACUGGACACCUGUGACAUCACAAUGAAAAUUGUGGCUGUUUAGGAAAACUAAAGCACCAAUCACUGAAUUCACAGAGGGGGUUUUUGUAUGAAGGUACCUCCCGAGGCACCAUAACAUCAGCUGUUUGGACUCUCAUUCUGAUGGCACCCAUUCACUGCAGAGGAUCUAUUUGUGAGAAAUUGAUAUAAUGCAAAAUUUCUCAAAUCUGAUGAAGAAACAAACUCAUCUACAUCUUGGAUGGCCUGAGAACCCAGACUGUGAUAUAAGAGUCUCCGUGAAAACAGGCGAGAAUGCUGGGAGGCCAUACGAGCAUCUUCACAGCCACCUGAGCUGACGGCUCGCACUGUUGAGGUGUUGGGCCCUCAUAUAUUUAUCCAGGGAAAUCAAUAGCUGAGAAAUCAAUUAGUGCCUGUCUGUGUGAGUAUUGCACGCCUGCCAUGGCCAAGCAGGACGCUUCCUGUUCAUUAAAUCAGUUCACCUAAUGAUCUCAAUCGCUCGGCUGUCUGAUGCAAUCGCCUGCAUGCC